AGCAGCCGCGGUAAUUCCAGCUCCAAUAGCGUAUAUUAAAGUUGUUGCAGUUAAAAAGCUCGUAGUUGAAUUUCGGAAUUUGUCGGUUGGUCGGGCUUCACUGUCCGCACUGACCUGAUGGAUUCCUACCUUCUGAAUAACCAGCAUGCUAUUAAGUUAGUGCGUUGGGGAAGCAGAGCUAUUACCUUGAAAAAAUUAGAGUGCUUAAAGCAGGCUUGUGCUUGAAUAGAUUAGCAUGGAAUAAUAAAAUAGGACGGCAUGGUUCUAUUUUGUUGGUUUCUAGGAUCACCGUAAUGAUUAAUAGGGAUAGUUGGGGGCAUUAGUAUUCAAUUGUCAGAGGUGAAAUUCUUGGAUUUAUUGAAGACUAACUUCUGCGAAAGCAUUUGCCAAGGAUGUUUUCAUUAAUCAAGAACGAAAGUUAGGGGAUCGAAGACGAUCAGAUACCGUCGUAGUCUUAACCAUAAACUAUGCCGACUAGGGAUCGGACGAUGUUAAUUUUUUAAUGACUCG
rnacentral:rRNA from 2 species